CCUACGGGGAGCAGCAGUGAGGCAUAUUGGUCAAUGGACGAGAGUCUGAACCAGCCAAGUAGCGUGAAGGAUGACUGCCCUAUGGGUUGUACACUUCUUUUAUAUGGGAAUAAAAUGUUCCACGUGUGGGAUUUUGUAUGUACCAUAUGAAUAAGGAUCGGCUAACUCCGUGCCAGCAGCCGCGGUACUACGGAGGAUCCGAUCGUUAUCCGGAUUUAUUGGGUUUAAAUGGAGCGUAGGUGGAUUGUUAAGUCAGUUGUGAAAGUUUGCGGCUCAACCGUAAAAUUGCAGUUGAAACUGGCAGUCUUGAGUACAGUAGAGGUGGGCGGAAUUCGUGGUGUAGCGGUGAAAGGCUUAGAUAUCACGAAGAACUCCGAUUGCGAAGGCAGUUCACUGGACUGCAACUGACACUGAGGCUCGAAAGUGUGGGUAUCAAACAGGAUUAGAUACCCGUGUAGUC
rnacentral:rRNA from 1 species